GGGUGUAGAGUCUUUCCCAUUCUUUCCCAACCAGCCGGCUACCACUUCAUGGCAGCCACCAUCUUCUUAUCUCAUUCCCUUUCUCAUUCCUCGUUAAAUUCUUUAAAAACUUCCAACACCCAACUUGAUUUUCUAUUUAGAAAACUAUCUUCCAAACUCAUUUUCUCCAUCAUCUUAACCAAAUUUCAACAAGGGUUUAUGGGUUUAUGAGAGAGAAAAUGGAAGUCAGAGAGAGAAAGCUUCGUUAAGGUAAAAUAUGCUGAAUUCCAUCUAUCCUAACUUAUUAUUUGAUUUUAGUUAUUGAAUAAAAGUUUGGGAAGCUUGGAUAUUGAUUUGUGUUUAUUAAAAAUGAGGAAAUGUUGAUCUUUGGAUUUCCAAGUUAGGAAGCGGAUGAAAACAAGUAUUUGGAAGCUUGAUUUUGUGUUUAAAGAGCAUGAAAGAGGUAACUACCAUUGCAUUUUCAUACUUUUUCUUAGAAAAGAUUAAGUAUGAACUAAAAAAAAAAGUUUAGUUAAUAAUUGAAGAUAAGUGUAUGGAAUAUGAAACCAUGGUUUAUGGUAUUUAAAUUAGUUAAUAAAACAUGCUAAGUGUAUUGCUAUUAAGGUUAUGUUAAACUAGUGAUAGUUAGUUGUGAAAAUGGUAUAAAACCUUAAAUACCACGGCGUUAUUAGAGAAGAGUGAUAUGAUGAAAUAAAUGUAAUUGUUGUUUAAGGUAACUGAAUAUUCAAAUAAUUGAGUAAAAAAAUCAUGAAUGUGUGUUAAAUGACUAUUUUAUUAAAUAAUGUAAUUCGAAAGAAAUUAUGCAUCAUAAAUUUUUCAUCUCUUAAAAAAAGUGCUUCUGGACCAAUUUUUGGCUUGAGAGAAAUACUUUUUUUCUCAAAAAGUAACUUGUUUAGGGAUGUUUUUUUGUCUCAAAAGUGCUUCUUAGAAACAAUACUAAACACACUCUAAAUAUGAAUAAUCUUUAUGUCCAAUAAGAGGCAAUAAAUGUCUUAUUUCAAUAAGACUACUAAAAACCCAUGCUAACAUUUACAUGAAUGAGUAUUGGUGAUAAAGCUCAACUACAUGGGAAAUAAACAUUGAAAGAUUAUAAAUUGGCAAUAAGAUGGCUAGUAGGCACUUGGAAAUGUGAUCCUAGUAAUACGAAGGAAACUUGUUAUAAUAAGAAUGCCUAGUUAAAUAAGAUUGAAAUUGAAUUUGUUCAAUGUUCAAAAGUGUUAAAUAGCUAGGAUACGAUUCACAAGCCAAUAAGGAUGCAUGCGUCUGGAUCAUAGGUGAUGUGAUUUCGAUCGUGUUUAAAGCCUUAAGGUGUAGCACUCUUGUGCAUUAAUAAGAAUGAGUAUUUUGGAAUGAUUGGUUGGUUAGUCCUGAAUAUCCGAUCUUGAAUUUGCUAAGCUUACUAAGGGUGAGACAUUAAACGAUUGUGCUAAUAAGAAUUAAACAUGAAUAAGUCCUACUAUUUGUGGGAUGGAAAAAUGGAAUAAGUUAAUCAAACAAAUAAAGGAUUAUUAAAGGUAAACAACUAAAAGUGACUAAGAAAUUGGCUAUUGAGAAAUGGUAUUAAACCUAUAAAUGUGAAACGUCAAGGAGAACUUGCACUAUAAGCUUUCCUCCUAAUGAUUAUGUGGUUAAUUAAUGGAGGAAACUAUGUGGAUGAAAUGUUAAAUGUAAGGCAUGAUCUAUUAAUGGUACUAAAAAAUUCAUGAGAUAAGUAAGCGUUAUACAUUAAUAUAUAAAUUUUCUCAGAAGUGAUUGCCUCAACAUUGAUGCACAAAUGGAGUAAAGGAUGCGUAUCUAGUUGGUUGAGUCUUGAAACAAAUUCAAGAAUGUGUAAACUCACACCUUUGCAAAUGUGUUUAAUUGGACAUGUUAAACACAAAACAUGUAAGUCUAAAAGACUCAACAUUGGUAAGGAAUAAGGUGAAGUAGGAAAAUCCUAGUGUACUUACUAAGCUCUGUGAGUUUAACGUAUUAGUUGUUUUAAAACGCAUAGGUAAUGGAUUCAAUGAGAAGUAUAAGGUUCGGGCUUGGUAGCUUCAUAUCAUCAACCAUCAUGAUGUUGUACAUUAUUGUUUUGGAUGUCUUUGUUAUUAGAAAUUGGCAAGUAUACAAAGAUUUAGAUUGGUUUUGAAGUUGUAAGAAAUUUGAUCUGAAAUUCAAGUUGUUUAAUUUAAUUAAUUAAGCUUCAUUCCGAUAUUUGACUUGAUUAUGUUUAUGCUUUGUAUUAGGAGUUUUAACAUGUUUGAAUUUGAUUUUUAAGUACUUUAGAACAUAAGGAAAUGAUAUGGUGAUGUUUGGAAAUGUUUUUAAGGUGUUUUUAGCAUAUUUUUCAG
rnacentral:lncRNA from 1 species